rnacentral:rRNA from 1 species
GGCUGAGAGAUCAGCUGUUCCCUUCGGGGACAGAAUGACAGGUGGUGCAUGGUUGUCGUCAGCUCGUGUCGUGAGAUGUUGGGUUAAGUCCCGCAACGAGCGCAACCCUUAUGAUCAGUUGCCAGCAUUCAGUUGGGCACUCUGGUCAGACUGCCGGUGACAAACCGGAGGAAGGCGGGGAUGACGUCAAAUCAUCAUGCCCCUUAUGACCUGGGCUACACACGUGCUACAAUGGGUGGUACAACGAGCAGCGAGACCGCGAGGUCAAGCGAAUCUCUAAAAACCAUCCUCAGUUCGGAUUGCAGGCUGCAACUCGCCUGCAUGAAGCUGGAAUCCCUAGUAAUCGCGGAUCAGCACGCCGCGGUGAAUACGUUCCCGGGUCUUGUACACACCGA